rnacentral:lncRNA from 1 species
AUGCAUGAGGCCAAAUAAAAACGUAUGUGUGGUUCCAGUUACAUCUGAAAAAAAGUUAGGGUCGGAAGGUAGGGAUUUUUUUUAAUUUUAUGUUUUAUUUUUACAUUGAGUCUAUGGGAGCAACAUUCAGACUUUAACAGUGCUUAAUGAAAAAAGACAAUAAAAUCUUUAGGGUAGGCUAUUUUUGAGGCGAAAAAGUAGGGAAGGUAGGGUUACUGGAACCACACAUUUAUUUUUAUUUGGCCU